UUUUUUCAGAGUUUCAACUUCGUGCAAGGCGUUAUCCUCGUGAACCACACCAGCGGUGAAGAUGUAGCUGGCUGCGACAACCAGAGAUCUUUUGGGAAGAUUUAUUUGAUCCGUGAUGAGAACGACAAGAUUCGGUACGUCGCGCAAAACAAAGAGGUCUUCUCGGUUGAAAUUGGAGUAGAGGAAUGCCAAUAUCCUGGACCGUACCAGUCUUCAGCCCUAGACGAAAACAAACAAAUAGAACACCCGGUCACCUGCCACGAAACGAGAAUUCCAUUCAUGUUCCCCGUGCUGACUGCAUGAUGGCACGGCUUUGGAGUCCGUGGCGCUCAAAGAUGGUCUCUCAGUGAGCUGCUCUGCCAAACU